rnacentral:rRNA from 1 species
GACGAACGCUGGCGGCGCGCUUAACACAUGCAAGUCGAACGGAAAGGCCUGCUUUCCCUUGUGGAUUUCGGGUACUCGCGUGGCGAACGGGUGAGUAACACGUGAGUGAUCUGCCCCCAACUUGGGUAUAAGCCUGGGAAACUGGGUCUAAUUCCCGAUAGGACUGCAGGGUGGUGCCUGUGGUGGAAAACGAUUUUCUAGUGGUUGGGGAUGAGCUCGCGGCCUAUCAGCUUGUUGGUGGGGUAAUGGCCUACCAAGGCGGCGACGGGUAGCCGGCCUGAGAGCGUGGACAGUGACAUUGGGACUGAGAUACGGCCCAGACGGCUACGGGAGGCAGCAGUGGGGAAUAAUGGAGAGUGAGCGGAAGCCUGAUGCAGCGACGCCGCGUGGGGGAUGUCGGGCUUCGAGUUGUAAUCUGCUUGCGACCGAGAGGAAGCCACCUGGAUGGAAGGGUGGUGACGGUAGUGGUAGAAGAAGCACCGGCUAACUACGUG